AACGCAUCUUGCGCUCCUUGGUAUUCCAUGGAGCAUGCCUGUUUGAGUGUCACGUAAACCCUCACCCUGGUGAUGUCAAAGUCGCCUGUGGUGGAUUUGGACCGUGCCGUAAUUGGCUCGUCCUGAAAUGCAUUAGCUUGUGCUUUUUAGAGUGCUCGGCAUGGUGUGAUAAUUAUCUGCGCCAUUGCCUUAGGCCUCUUCUGUGUGCGCUGCUUCCAAUCGUCCCUCGUGGACAACAUAUUUUAAGCUUUGGCCUCAAAUCAGGUAGGACUACCCGCUGAACUUAA
rnacentral:misc_RNA from 1 species